AUGUGUCAGGAAGUUUUUGUACGACGGCUCAAUCAGUUUGUAUCACUGUGGUACACGUUUGGUGGAGGAACCAGACUGGAUGUUGGAAAUGAUGUGCGUCCCACCCUGACGGUGCUGCCCCCCUCCAGUGAAGAGCUGGAGCAGGGGAAGGCCACGCUUAUGUGCCUGGCCAACAAGGGCUUCCCCUCAGACUGGAGUCUGGCCUGGAAGGUAGACGGCAGCAGCAGCUGCAGCAACUGGGAGGAGAGCAGGAGCCCCGGGGUCCUGGACAAGGACGGCCACUACAGCUGGAGCAGCACCCUGAGGCUCCCUGCAGACCAGUGGAGGAAGGUGGGCUCUGUGACCUGUGAGGCCACCCAGGGCUCCCAGACUCCACUCUCAGAGACACUGAGGAGAGACCAGUGUUCCCAGUCCUGAGCUGACUCACUGGCAGGGACUCUGCUACUGGUUUUACUCUGACACUGCUCUCACUCUGCUCUCUGCAACUAGCUCUGGCUUUUAUAUGACAUGUUUCAGUAGACAUAUUUUUCCGAAGUUUUGGUCACAUUUUCCAACAAUUGUCAGUCUAAUUUUUUGUACUUGAGUAAUUCAUCACUGCUGCAACUAUGUGUCUUUGAUUUGUAUCGACAGCGCUAUUUGCCAGCUUGUUGCAGUGUUUCAGUAUUAUUUCAGUGUUUCUAGAUAAUAAACAUGUUUUCAUCAAA